rnacentral:rRNA from 1 species
AAAGCGUGCGCAGGCGGUUAUGUAAGACAGAUGUGAAAUCUCCGGGCUCAACCUGGGAACUGCAUUUGUGACUGCAUGGCUAGAGUACGGUAGAGGGGGAUGGAAUUCCGCGUGUAGCAGUGAAAUGCGUAGAUAUGCGGAGGAACACCGAUGGCGAAGGCAAUCCCCUGGACCUGUACUGACGCUCAUGCACGAAAGCGUGGGGAGCAAACAGGAUUAGAUACCCCGGU